rnacentral:rRNA from 1 species
CCAGACUCCUACGGGAGGCAGCAGUAGGGAAUCUUCCACAAUGGACGCAAGUCUGAUGGAGCAACGCCGCGUGAGUGAAGAAGGGUUUCGGCUCGUAAAGCUCUGUUGGUAGUGAAGAAAGAUAGAGGUAGUAACUGGCCUUUAUUUGACGGUAAUUACUUAGAAAGUCACGGCUAACUACGUGCCAGCAGCCGCGGUAAUACGUAGGUGGCAAGCGUUGUCCGGAUUUAUUGGGCGUAAAGCGAGUGCAGGCGGUUCAAUAAGUCUGAUGUGAAAGCCUUCGGCUCAACCGGAGAAUUGCAUCAGAAACUGUUGAACUUGAGUGCAGAAGAGGAGAGUGGAACUCCAUGUGUAGCGGUGGAAUGCGUAGAUAUAUGGAAGAACACCAGUGGCGAAGGCGGCUCUCUGGUCUGCAACUGACGCUGAGGCUCGAAAGCAUGGGUAGCGAACAGGAUUAGAUACCCUGGUAGUCCAUGCCGUAAACGAUGAGUGCUAAGUGUUGGGAGGUUUCCGCCUCUCAGUGCUGCAGCUAACGCAUUAAGCACUCCGCCUGGGGAGUACGACCGCAAGGUUGAAACUCAAAGGAAUUGACGGGGGCCCGCACAAG